CCCUUAGAUGUCCUGGGCCGCACGCGCGCUACACUGAUGCAUUCAACGAGUUUUACCUUGGCCGAGAGGCCUGGGCAAUCUUUUGAACCUGCAUCGUGAUAGGGAUAGAUUAUUGCAAUUAUUAAUCUUGAACGAGGAAUUCCUAGUAAACGCAGAUCAUCAAUCUGCAUUGAUUACGUCCCUGCCCUUUGUACACACCGCCCGUCGCACCUACCGAUUGAAUGGUCCGGUGAAGCCUCGGGAUUGUGGCGAGUUCCCUUUAUUGGGAGUUUGUCGCGAGAACUUGUCUAAACCUUAUCAUUUAGAGGAAGGUGAGGUCGUAACA
rnacentral:rRNA from 1 species